GCCCCGCUCGUGUGCAUGCUCUCUCUCUCAAACAAACAAACAAACAAACAAACAAACAAACAAACAAAUAAAAAUAUGUAAACCCCAUCAUGGAGAUGGGUGGCUUUCUUCUUGUCAGGCUGUUCUGGUCUGGGCAAGAGUAUCCAAAUUACAGCCAUGAUGGGCCCUCCUAGAGACAUCUGGCCCUCUCUCUUGUAGCAACUAGAAUCUAUCCACAGUGUAAUCUUGAUAAUUUACCUCCCACCCAUUACAAAUGCCCUGCGUUACUGGAAAGAACAUUAUCUGUCCAUUCAUUGUCUAGUGGCCCUUCCAAUGCACCUUAAUUCCAAUGCACCUUCCAAUGAACCGCACAAAGGAUCGGGGCUUUUUGAUCUUGAACUGAGGAGGGCUUUAGGGCCAGGCCUGGAACAGGGUUCAGUUCAAUACAACGCAGUAUGCCAACCUUCAAAAAGACCACCAAGGUCGCCUGCUGACAAAGCAACACUGAAUUUAUUACUAAUUGCAGUAAAGGAGUCCCUGCCACCUUGAUAGAGUCUUAAUAGUCUUAGAAGAGAAAAACCCAGGAUGGAUGUUUAUAGGAUUUGGGGGUCUGGGGGACCAUUUGAGUCAUGUAUUAUUCAGAUGCAUGGAUCGUUAGGGCGUUUCUGAAGCAGUCACUAACGUAAUUUGUGACUUCAUCAUCCUGGGAAACGGUAUCCUGGAAUAGGGCCAUGAUAAUGUGGAGGGUCUUUGCUCUUGAUCCUCUCGUGCCGUGGGGUGGCAGCCACGUUGUCCGCUGGCACGUCACGGGCUUAUCGAGCGUUGACCCUGUGCCAAUAAGGGGCAUCCGAGCGGAAGACGGACCGAACAAGUGACCUGGCAGCACUGGUCCACAAAAGAAGAAACCUCUUCAGGUAAGCUGCGUCGAAUUCUAAAGUAGACGCCAGUCGCUAAAAACAAAGGUGCCAUACAUGUGACUUGUUAAACUCACAUCGGCUUUGAUACCUCUCAGUUCAACCAAAUGCAGGAUGAGGCAGCAAAUGCCCCCUGGGCACUGGCUCUGCCAGGCGCAGGUGCUGGGGACAACAAGCUGAAGAGAACCCGAUUCCCUCCCGCGUGGACACGGCGUGUCAACCCUGCAGCGGAGGCAGGCGCAAGGUGGCGAGCAUGAGGCCAGAGUGAUGACUUCUGGGGCAGAUCAGGAAGCCUUCCUCCCUGCAGAGGCUGACUGUGCGUCUCAGGUAAGAUCCAGCCCUAUUUCUCUAGCCACUAGAUGGACGUCUAACCCUGAAUAGCAGCCAUCAUGUAGGUCACACCUUCUAGCCUCUGGGGAAGAUGAGAGCGGUUCCCAAGAGCAAAGCCUUGGCUGAGGACAGACUGGAGUCCUCAAGGGAUCUCUGAGAAGGGGAUUGAGCUUCCACUGGGGCGGAGGGGGUACAGGAGUUAGAAAGGGGGCGAGAUUUGGGCCAAUGCUGUCACUGAGCAACCCCCCAAGGAUUUACUGGAGCAGGAACCCAAGCAGAUAACCCACGCGAAGUGAUCUGCGACCAGCGGACGUGUUUUCCGUUGUGAUAUUUACUACCUUCGGUGGCUAUUUCCCUUCCAAUGAGCACACCCUGUCUCUUCGGCUAUUCUGCAACCUCCUGAUACGGAGGGAUCACGUCUCUUUGUGUUUCAAGUGGCCCGUCAGCACGCCCUGCACAUAGAAAGUUUCAACACCGGGGGCCUAUGGGUCCAGCUGGAAAGGCACUUCUUGGUAUGAGAACCCUCUGGUGGAGAACCAGACGCUUUCUCCAGAUUCGCUGCCUGCCACUGAGCUUUGUGUCACUGGGCAGUUGCUUCAGCCUCAGGGCCGAGGGGACCUGGGAUGGUCCCAAUUUUCCUCAGCUGCCAGGCACUGGGCUAGGCGCGUCAGCUGUACCUUUGCCUGAAGAACGGAGGCCUCUGAGCAUGGGGCAAAGGGUCCACUUAAUAUAUGGCAUUCCAGCGUUCUGGAGAAAAGACUGCCCUGCCCCCCUGCUCCCAAGCGGGGUCUACGUGGGCAGAUUGAAGACCGAUGCCUAGGCAAGGAUCCCGCAAAUGGGUCCUGAGGCAGCAGGGUCUGAGCGGAAUAUAGCGAGAGCUGGCGGUUGGAGAAGGAGGGGACAACGGCUAUGUGAGUCUGGGGUGACUGAUACGUUGAAAUUGGGCUCGACUAUUUCAUGCGUUUCAUUCCUGAGCGUGCGAGAAAGAGGAGGGCAGAGUUACCUUCAAUUAACGUUAAUGCUGAAUGUUCUCACAUUCAGCCGUGCCCUAUGGGAAUGUCACAAGUUGCCUACGGUAAUACCACCUAGUGGCGUCCCCCUCUGUCGCUCACCAACCCCCCCCCCCCUUUUUAAAAAGUCUUUGGGAUUCCUGUUUAUCUCUGGUCUCUGAGGAAAGGACACUGGGGCCAACAAACUCGAGGGUGAGGUCAUGUACAUCACGGCCCCCUUAUUUCUAGAUUAUCUCUAACACGAAGCAGAAUAAAAGUGAGAUUCUCCACUGCCCCCGAGGUAACUACCUGAACCUUCCUUGUUGGCACGCGUCACUUACCCCUGCCCCCCACGCGUGACAUAGAUCCGCUUUUGUGAUCCAAAAUAGCCUCUUACAACUCGUAGAAGUUAGUGUUUCUGAGAAAAAAAUGUAUCUGGCUUGGAAAGGCCAAAAGAACCGGGGCCUCCCCAUCUACAUGAGAAACAGUAGGCAGGAGAGACAGGCGAGGACACGGGUGCGGGGCAGACGACGGUGUCCUCGGGUGAAAUCAGUGUCGGCUGGGGAGAAAAGAGGCACGCUGGGGGUCUCCGAGGGGCAGACCGCAUACCAGCCCUCACUCCGGGCCGCAGCUCUAAGGACGGGUUGUUAGAACCCCACAAAUAAGUUCUAGGAAAUAGGAACCUGAGGGGCGUGUGGGCCCCGGAAGGCAUCGGGAGGUGUCCUUGGUCCUGACAGUCCCGCCAGGGGGCUUGGUGCAAACCCACUCCAUUUACUGGUGACAUCGCCCCGAAAUCACACUCUUCACUGAGUGUGGGUGAAUCACACACCCUUUGGCUCCCUCCCUCCCAAGGGAGCUGAGAACCUUGACAGCCGCGCCUUGUGUUCUGUCACACCCGCCUCUUCGCCUCCACGGUCCCUCCUGACCCACGCUCUUUUGCUCUCUCCCAGGAAUCUGGAAAUCGUCGUCAGAUUCCAGUUCAGUUUCGGCUGGCCUUCCAGUGCACGAGAGAUGGCCAUGGCCGAGGUUGCCGAGGAGGGGCCACCUCCCACCCUCUGCCCUCCGUGUUGCCCUCUCUCCCGUGCAGCUGGAGAGGCCGAGGACUCCGGGCAGCUGGGAGAGAAGCAGACAGAUGGGGCAGGAGACAGAGUGCUAGAAGACCCAAGGCUGCCAAAAGGAUUUCCCGUUUGCUCCGGUAACACUUGAAGGCAGGGUCUCGGUCUCCCAGCCUCUGAGAGCACUGGAUCUGGGAGCCUGCGGACCACCGGCGGACCACCGACUGUGAAGGUCCGCAGAGCGCAUGCUCCGGCCGCCUCUACCUCUUUACCGCUGCAACCCCGAGGCUCGACACUAGGUGGCAGCAAAGCGCCGGCCCAACAGCAUCUGCAGUCUUCUGCCGCAGAACUUGAAAAAAAGUGGGGCCGCAGAUUUUCCUUUCAGAGAAGGACCCACCCAAGCAAGACGAGCAGCUGUAAAGACAGCAAUAGAGAUAACUGAACAGUCGUCAGGACAAAAAUGCCUUCUGAAUAGGAUGGGCAAACAAACCAGACGCCCCCCCCCCCCCCCGCCCCCACCGCAACGGGCCAUCGUUUAUGAAACCCCUCCGAGGACGAUACAAUGCAAUUUCGGUCGAUGCUUCGGAGCCGAUCAUUUGAUAUUGGGUGUGGAUAUUCUCUGAGGCCCGUUCUGCCGGCAGUUUGGCACCUAAAAUGUGAAAGUCUCAUGAAAGUUUACUGGCCGCAGAGGAGGUAGUUCUGCACGCUUUGGUGACAUCCGUCAUGGUGACCUCGCGUCGUGGGGCCUCGUGUAGAUCAAUACGUGGAUCCCAGACUGAUGUUAACACGGGGUUUCUUUCUAAAUGACAGGGAUUAGCUCGGGAGGAAGAAUCCGCCUGCUUUUAAGGCAGAGCCUUCGGGGAGUAGACCAUUGGGCCCAUCGCAUGGCACAGCCCUGUCCAAGCUGCAUCCCAGAGCAAGGAGAGGGACAAAUGGGGGACCGAGGGGGCGGUGAAAGCAAGCACUUUUCUAGGGUCCAAAACCCCCGAGUCCCGUCUCCCAAAGACCAAAUGGUUCUUAGAAUUUAGUGAACCCGCCCCCAUCAUCCCUGCUCCCCACACCCACCCCUGCUCUUGCUUCAGCAGGGUAUUUUUAGAGGGCCAGCAGAGUUCUUUGGAGAAGCCAGCCCGUUUCAGCUGGGCCUGCUGCGCUUGGAAAAGCAAUCUUCUUGCUGAAGACCAGUGUUUCGGCUUGCCGGAAAGCUAUUUACGUGGCUCCAGGGUGGGCCUGGAAGCUGCGAAAGGGCAGGGAGAGGAAGCGAGAAUCCGAGAGAGAGGGAGAGCUCCUGUCAGAUUACUCUCUCAUUUUUCGUCACCUAAGCAGCCUACAGUUUCAAGGGCAGUGGAGAGCUGUACGUUUACAGAGGAUGAGACACCCAUCUGGGCGGCGGUGUUGACGUCCUCACCUUUCAAAGUCUCCCUGCGACCUCAGCGAGACAUAACGUGGCCCGCGUGCACCUUGCAUUCUCUUAAGAGCCUGGGUGAUCGAUGAGAUCUAUCUACUUGCUGUCCCGUCCCGGUCAGUGGACCAUUUCACCCACAUGGUGUGCGUUUUAGGCCUCUUCUUUCUGAUAUUUACAUGCUACCUGAAAUCCCUCCUUCCUCAGAAAGCCUUCUUUGCUUAACGAAGGAGAGUUGGGAUCCCACACAUUCAAACUCUACAAUUCUGUUUUCACGUGUGACCUCACCGAAACUGCUUCAUGUCUUUGCUGACAGCGUAAAGCGGUUCCUGGCAAAUUUGCGUAUGAAUGCUAGGUUUGCUCAUAACUGGCGUUUUCCCUGCGUCUCCAGAAUUACUGUGCUGUGUCUCAGAUUUCUGUUUGCCAGAGGGCAUGCAAAUGGGGAGGCAGACAAGAAGACCAUCAAGCAAAUCCAUGUAUAAACUAUAACGUGCAAAAACAUGGCCAUGGCCGCUUUGUCACUUGCAAAGAGAUGUCAAGGACUUUUUAUCUCACUUGACCUUUGCAAAGACUACUAUCCACAUCUUAAUUGGGACAUUGAGGCUCAGAUAGAUACAGUAGGGCAUUGGUAUGGGGCACUCUUCUGUUCAAGAUCUAUGCCUACCCUGAACUAUACAGCAUAACCUGCUGGGGGGGGGUUGUAUAUCGUCCAUGCACACGCCCAGCAGUUCAGCGAAGGGCAGAGGUCUAGAAAAUGGCAAGGGGCAGGAGCCUGUUGGGUGAAUAAGGCAGCCCCAUAAUCCCAAGCCCCACCCUACCCAAUGGGCAUAUUCACCCCGAAGGCAGAGCUGGAGGGAAUGCGACCGUCUUCCCAGGGCAGUGCAGGGGAAGCUGGAGGAGUCUACACUGCUUGGCAGGCUGCAGGGACAUCUUUUGCAAACAGACACCUGGGAGCCCUGAGGACUGGUAUCAUUUCAUUUCCCACAAAAGUCCAAAAUGGCCGGAAAAAAGCAGAACCGAUAACCCUUCAGUCGCCUGGUCUGAGGCCAUGCGUACAUCAUGGCAGGGAGAUCUUAAUCAGUGUCACGGACAUGAGUUCUUUGAGAAGGUCACGAAAGCCCCGCCCCGUCUCCCCAGAAAACGGCUGCCUAUAAUUGCAGGGGGUUCAAGCUCACGGUUUCCCGGGACAUUUGUGCAGAUGAAAUUGAUCAGCGGCAGGAGGAAGAUAGCUGUUGCCUAGGCAACCAGCCGAUGACUCAUCCUGGCUUUGAAGCAGCAAAAGCCAUGAGCCUGCAGUAAUUUUCCAGAUGCUUAACCUGUCCUCCUCCUUCUCUGUCUUUCUUUGUUUUCCUCUCUCCAUCCUUCAUUUCUUUCUGCACCCUCACUUCCCCGGGUCCUCCCUAAACUUGACACUGAGUGCUGCAGGAUCUCUGCGGGGGGUGGGUAUAGGGGGUGGUCCUGAGCUCCCCAGAGCAGUUAUGUGGACCUCAUCCCACCAGUAAUAGGUGGCUUUCCCUGCUGCUGCUCCUUAUGUCUCCUAACCGGGAAAUGGCCAGGCUGUCACCGUCGGUGCUGCAGAGCCCCCAAGAUGCUGCUUGUUGCCCUUGAUCAGAGAACCUCAAGUGAACCCGGCACUUUUUCUUUGAAUCUAAACUAAACGGACCACACCCCUUUAUCUCAGAGAUCUGCAGUGUUCCUUUGAGGACAGACAGUUAUCCUGUGGGCCUCCCAAGCCGAGUUGCGACAGUGACGUUUACAGGUGACAGAGGCCACCAUUGGCAGCUCUCUGGAUGCUGGGUUUUCCCAUCCUCCUUCGCUGACGUUCCCCACUCCUCAUCUUGUGUCUGAUGUUCCAGGCCCUUCUUAAUUAGCCAUCUCAAUCGUCUCUACAACGCGGAGUAUAGAAGCUUGAACCGUUCCCCUUCCAAAAGCAUUUUCAUUUUAACAAGGCUUUCAGAAGCAAAAUAUUUUAAAACUCAGGGGAACCAAAUCGUUAGCCUUUUGGAUAAAGAUAUAGGUGGUGGGGUGGGGGGGUUGGGUAGUAAGCUACGCCUGGAAGAGGGUCUUCCUCUGCACGUCGUACGUGCAUCACCCAUGGUGCUGCUGAGGCUGGCACAGAACAUUUUAUGUUGGUUACAAGUUGGUCCCCCAGUUCCGUAUCCCACCCCUACCCGUACAUAUGUACUGUGUCCAUGCACGUCACGUACACACACACACACACACACACACACACACACUGCCUUGAGCAGCAGCAGCAGCUAAUGGGGAGACAACAACAAAUCCCCAGCGAUGAAGGCAGAGCCACCAGGGACACAGACAUACGCUCAUUCUCCUCCUCCUGCGGUGGAGCACGCCGUCCUCUGGUCUCAAGCACACGCUGGGCAAGGAUGCCUUGGCCACCCUCAUGAUCUGAGGAAAUGGCAUUGGCUCUGGGAGCACUUCAAUCCCGCGAAGCAUGGGACUCGAGGUGGGUGAGACUUGAGCCGUGUGCACCCUGGCCAUCCAUCCAGUGCGGGCAUUGCCGCUAAAGUGUCCCCCCAUGGCAACCGUGCUGCUGAACUUGAAUCCGCAGGGAUGGAGGCCGCUUGGCUCACAGGGCAGCCCAGUACAUUUUUGAACAGAUGGGAUUGUUCACCUCUUUAUAGAUUUAUGGAGCAAUUCUUUCAUUCGGUAAAGACCAAUGGAAUGCCCUUGGUGUGAGAUGCAGGGGUGAGCAAAACGGUCCUGCCAGUGUGGGGCUCAGGGUCUCCGGGUUGGCGGAAUCAAGGGCACAACCCGACAGCACCGUGGUUGCCAGUGGGGGAGACGGUGACCAGGAGACUCUGGGGCCAUAAGC